ensembl:lncRNA novel transcript
ACGGGGAUCACCAGGCAAGUAAGUCAAGUUCCCGCUGCUCAAGUCCAGCUGUCUGCCACGGUAGUGCAACCCUUGGCGGACGACCCAGGACGCGUUGACGCGGCAGUCGCGCCAUCUCUUCUUGCCUGCAUUUAUCUGCGCUGUUUGAAGCCGUGUGACCCAUCAGGACCCAGAGGCUGUCUGAUCACAUUAUUGGGCUGUCUGCUGUCUUCGGGUUAGGAGAUCCUGGUUGGCCUGAAGGGAAGAAGAUCAGAGGAAGACCUAUCGAGGAUGGGUUUCUCCUGCUUCUCCUCGGGUUGGCGCUGCCCAGGAUCCGCUUCCUGGCCUCGGUGUACUCGGCUUCCCACUGUGCCAGGGACUUGACUGGAAGGGCGGGCCUGCUAGCGGACUUGGGGCUGCUGACCACACCGUUGCUGGUGGGCCUCUUGAGGAUGCGGACCUGUGGAGGGGGUCCCGGGGGAAAAUUAUCAUCCUGAAUCACAAUGGGCACUUUGGGAGAUUUGAAUUUCCUGCUUUCUGUGUGAUCUUCAGUUUUUUUUCCAGACGUCUAUUUCCCCGCUGUCUGCCGUCUCCUCCCAGCUCUCAGCAACCUCCUCAUAUUCCAUCUUACUCGCCACUUUCCAGAUCGCUUGCUUUCUUAUUUCCACAUUUUCUCUGACUUUUGCAGUAUUCAAUAUUAUUACCUGAUUCUGAUUUUUCAGACAUCACUAUAUGGUCCUUGGCUUUUUGGUCGUUCCUCUCAUUCCUUUGCUGUUUCAAGCUCUGUUCCCAGCCUAAGCUUUUUACCACCGAAUUCUGUUCUGUGACCCAUAACUUAAAACUAACCCAACUUUUCAUUCCCUCCAGACUUUUUUUGGUAAGCAGUAUCAUCAUGCUUUAGGUGGACACUGAGUCAUACUGCUGUGGUAGUGCUGGUACACGUAGUUUUGAAUACCAGGUUCUUGAGUGAAUCCUUUUUACUUCUCUCUCUCUCCCCCACCCCCGCUUCUCCCUUCUGCCUUCAUUUCUGACCCUUCUUUUCUGGUUCCAUUAGAAAAGGACUAAUCUUAUCAGUUCUGCCUUUUUUUUUCUGCUCUAAUAAUUUUGUCAAGAUAAUUUUUUCAAAGCACAAGGCCAAUGAGAAGGGGGAAAGUCGGUCCAGAAGGCAGCCGGCCCGACUAUUCUGAGUUUGAAUCUACUCUUGGUGGUCCUGUUAAAAUACAGUUUGAAGCAAAUCA